rnacentral:rRNA from 1 species
CCUGGGGGACUACGGUCGCAAGACUAAAACUCAAAGGAAUUGACGGGGACCCGCACAAGCGGUGGAGCAUGUGGUUUAAUUCGAUGCAACGCGAAAAACCUUACCACUCCUUGACAUGGAGAUUAGAUCCUUCUUAACAGAAGGGCGCAGUUCGGCUGGAUCUCGCACAGGUGCUGCAUGGCUGUCGUCAGCUCGUGUCGUGAGAUGUUGGGUUAAGUCCCGCAACGAGCGUAACCCUCAUCCUUAGUUGCCAGCGGGUAAGCCGGGCACUUUAAGGAAACUGCCGGUGGUAAACCGGAGGAAGGUGGGGAUGAUGUCAAGUCAGCACGGCCCUUAUGGGGUGGGCUACACACGUGCUACAAUGGUGACUACAAUAGGUUGCAAUGUCGCAAGGCUGAGCUAAUCCGUAAAAGUCAUCUCAGUUCGGAUUGUCCUCUGCAACUCGAGGGCAUGAAGUCGGAAUCGCUAGUAAUCGUGGAUCAGCAUGCCACGGUGAAUACGUUCUCGGGUCUUGUACACACUGCCCGUCACGCCAUGGGAAUUGGCUUAACUCGAAGCUGGUGCGCUAAC